rnacentral:rRNA from 1 species
GAUGAACGCUGGCGGCGUGCCUAAUACAUGCAAGUCGAGCGAACAGACGAGUAGCUGGCUCCUCUGACGUUAUCAGCGGACGGGUGAUUAACACGUGGUUAACCUACCUAUGAGACUGGGGUAACUUCGGGAAACCGGAGCUAAGACCGGAUAAUAUAUUGAACAGCAUGGUUCAAUCGUUAAAGACGGUUUUGCGUUCGCUUAUGGAUGGAUCCGCGGCGCAUUAGUUAGUUGGUAAGGUAACGGCUUACCAAGGCGACGAUGGGUAGCCGACCCGAGAGGGUGAUCGGAUAGACUGUAACAGAGACACGGCCCAGACUCCGACGGGGGGACGCAGCAGGGACUCUUCCGCAAUGGGGCAAUGCCUGACGGAGCAACGCCGCGUGAGUGCUGAAGGACUUAGGAUCGUAAAACUAUGUAAUCAGGGAAGAACAAAUGUGUAAGUAACUAUGAACGUAUUGACGGUACCUACACAGAAAGCCACGGCUAACUCCGUG